UACGGAGGGUGCAAGCGUUAAUCGGAAUUACUGGGCGUAAAGCGUGCGCAGGCGGUUUGUUAAGUCUGCUGUGAAAUCCCCGAGCUCAACUUGGGAAUUGCAGUGGAUACUGGCAGGCUGGAGUAUGGUAGAGGAAGGUGGAAUUCCCGGUGUAGCAGUGAAAUACGUAGAGAUUGGGAAGAACACCAGUGGCGAAGGCGGCUAUCUGGACGGUUUCUGACACUAAGACUCGAAAGCGUGGGGAGCAAACAGG
rnacentral:rRNA from 1 species